AAUAGCUGGGUUUCCUUUCGGUUUUACCAAAUUCCCUCUUGUUAUGAUAAUAUAAAUGUGGAGGGAUUUCUGAAAUUGUAGAGAAUUGUCUUAGUUAGGGUUUUACAGCUGCAAACAGACACCGUGACCAGGGCAACUCUUAUAAGGACAACAUUUAAUUGGGGCUGGCUUCAGAGGUUCAGAGGGUCAGUCCAUUAUCACCAAGAUGGGAACAUGGCAGUAUCCAGGCAGGCAUGGUGCAGGAGGAGCUGAGAGUUCUACAUUUUCAUCUGAAGGCCUCUAAGACUGACUUGCAGGCAGCUGGACGAGGGUCUUAAAGCCCAUUCCACAGUGACACGCCUACUCCAACAAGGCCACACCUCCUAAGAGUGCCACUCCUUGGGCCAAGCAUAUUCAAACCAUCACAAGAAUUUUAAGUUUAAAGUUGUCCAGUAUCCUUUGGUUUAUAAGAACACAAACCAUAAAAGUGUAAAGCAUAGAACGGAAAGACGGGCAUGUAUGUGCCUAAGCGUGUAAAGUGAAAGCUUUGGUUCCCCUGACCCUGGGCAUAGCAGUACCUCUUUGAGAUGCCCAAACAGCAAACCUAAUGUAUUGACCAUUUGCUUGCCUAAGGAUCUAAAGUCAUUUUAUAUACCUUACAGAUUUUAUACGGAGUCAUAAGGUUAGAAAUGUUGGAAAGAUGUAUUGGGAAUUUAACUAGAGUUUUUCACCUACUUUCCACUUUGAACUGUCUUGCCCGUGACUACAGUAACAAGUGAGGUACCUUAAAUUACCAGAGCUCAUAGACCUCAUUUUUCUGUUUACUCCUAUUAGGAAAAUGUUUGUGGCCAGCCUAUGUUGUCAGUAAAAUUCCAAAGGGGUCUACAUCCUUACGUCUUUUUCAAAGGUUUCUAGAGCUAGGGCUGGAAAGAUAGCUCGGCAGUCCAGAGGAGCACUGGCUGCUCUUUCAGAGGAGCUGGUGUUUGGUUUUCAGCACACACGUGGCUCACAACCGUCUGUUCUUCCAACUCCAAGGGAUCCAGUGUCCUCUUCUGCACCAAGCACACAUGGAGCGAACAGACAUACAUGCAGGUGAAACAUCCAUAGAUACAAGUUUUUAAAGUCUCAUAAAAAGUUUCUAGAAUGGCAUGGGAAGGGGUCAUCCACGUUGGUAGGACUUUGGGUCUGUCUGGCCAAGUUAAAGUCCACUGCCUCUGGACAUACAUGUACGGCUGCUGGCUGGGUGCACCCAGAUUGGUGUUCACUUACACUUUGUAAAUGUAGUUCCUGACAAAGCAAAAAUGCCUGAAAUCACAGGCUCAGGAGACUUUUUUCUAAUACAUAUUGAAAUAACAAAUUUGUUUGACUGUUACCUGAAGCUCUAUUGCAUCAUCUCCAUGUUCCUUAGUGUAGCCCUUAGGUGGGCCAUCUAAUCUCUAAGCAUAGGCUCUUCCCUUCUCUUCCCCGGUGGUGCAAUAUGGCUUUGUGGUGGACGAGAACCAUUAGAGACACUUACUGAGUAUGCUGUGGUGGACGUGCCAGAAAGUGACACCUGAUUGGUUAAACUCUCUUUUUCAAGUGGUUGCUAUCCAUGCGGGGAAGGUGCUGGAAGAGCUGCUGUGUUGUGCGUGGACUUUAACCCCUGGUUUCUUGCAUAACUCCCUUCUUUCCCCUGUUCUUGCAGGUGGCUCAGUCCAGCAAUCCUUUGGCUUGAUCCUUGGGAAGAACAGACUGUUCCUACAAGGAGGGUAUAGUUGGCUGGACUGAGAAGGCGGGGUGGGGUCCUCACUGUUCCUCCAGCUGCUGACCCUUCUUGCCCUGUGCUGUGGGGACUUGGGAUGUUUUGGCUCCUCGUCCUUUUCUCUAAGUCCUGGACACACAGUGUCCUCUGUUUUCAGUUGGUACAUGCGUUCACUUCGCUUUCCCCGCUCUGGUAAGUUAGAUGUUCAUCUGCUCCUUAAGUGCUUUUACAUUAAGCUGCCGUCUCAUCCUGCCUACGGUUUGUGUAGUGACAUCAUACGUUCUAAGACGUCUUCACUCUGGUUAUCUUAUUACUAAACCUGUUUAUUUUCCUCAGUGUAACUUGAGGUUCCAUGCAGAUAGCCCCUUGGCUGUUUUUGUCCCUGUUGGCUAACAGUGCCUCUUAGACAGUGACUUGAGGGGAGGAUGUGGACUUCAGGCUGUGGUGGUUUAUAAACGGCUUUCAUAAUGGCAACCCCAUUUGAAUGCCAUCAAGCCUGUGGUUAUGUAAAAUGAUGCUCCUGGUGUUGAAGAGCCAGGCUUAGGAGGCUGAAGGAGCUCUGUAAGGUUUAUGGGGGAUAGCAUGGAUCCAGUUCAACAUGGAGAUAUCUAUAUCUAUAUUAGAAGUAUCUAUCUAUCUAUCUAUCUAUCUAUCUAUCUAUCUAUCUAUCUAUCUACACACACAUAUAUGUAUGUAUGAGUGUGUGUGUAUGUAUGUAUGUAUAUAAUGUUGCUAAAAUCCCCAGUACUGUAAAAUAUAUUCACACAAACCUGCGAUACACAACAGUCAGCCAACAUGACUGUAAACUGGAUGAGGCCCUGCUGACAUCACAAGACAGGCUGUUUAUUUACAGUGAACUUAAGAUCUAAAUAGAGGAGCUUAAUGGUAAAAAUCACAUUGCUGUAAACACACAAACUCACAGCUGUUGAUUAUCAGUAUCUGCUUUAUCUCUUUUAGAUUUGUUUUUAUCUUACAUGGAUGUGUGUUUUUGCCUGCAAUUAUGUCUCUGCACCACAUGUGUGCAGGGCCCCCAGAGGCCAGAAGACAGUACCAAGUCUCCUGGAACUGGUGGUUACAGACAGUUACCGUAUGGGUCCUAGGAACCGGACCCGGGUCCCCUGGAAAAGCAGCAGUGCUCAUAAGCACGGAACAGUCUCCAGCCCCAUCUCCUGUAUACACAUUCUGUGUGUUUGUGAGUCUGGGCAGGAACAGGUGAGGAGAGUGCUACAGUGUCUCCGUGAUCGCUGUCCCACCGCUGUGGGAACCAGUGUCAUCACAGGGAGACAGAAAAAAAGGUCCUGUAUGAUAAGGUGAAAGUUAAAUAAAUGAAAAUUUACAAACUCCAAUUUUUUUUUUUUUUUUAAUUUUGAGGCAAGGUUUCUAAGUUGCCCAGGUUGAUGUGGAGUAAGCCUUGAACUUGGGAUCCUCCUGCCUCAGCCUCUCAAAUAAAAUACUUAGGACAGGUGUGAGCCACCAGACCCAGCCCGAAGGUCCUUUGCUUCGUGUCACUGUCGUUCUGUGUAUUUACUGCUUCGGUUCAAAGGGCCCAAGUAGAACCUUUAUCCUUAGAAUCAGACUGGGGCCCCUCCCUUCAUUUUCUAUUUCAUGGUGAUUUGGGGGCCUUUUUUCUUUUUUCUUCUUUUGUUUUAAAAAACUUGGUGCUUAGAGUAAAUAUCUGAUUUUUUUUUUAAGAAAAGAAUUUAUUUAUUUACUUUAUGUAUGUGAGUACACUGUAGCUGUCUUCAGACACCCCAGGAGAGGGCAUCAGAUCCCAUUGCAGAUGGUUGUGAGCCUCCAUGUGGUUGCUGGGGACCUGUGGAAGAGCAGCCAAUACGCUUAACCGCCUCUCUCCAGCCCGAGUAUCUGAUUUUUUUAAACAGAACUGCCAUAAGUUAGUGAGUUGGGGUUUGAAUUUGUUUCCCACAAAAUAUUUGCGAAGUCUCGGAACUAGUGUGCCUUUGUGCUCAGAUUGAGAGCUUCCAUCUUUUAUUUCAGAACUGGGAACCCUGGGACAAGUAGACUUGUCUGUUUAUAUUCUUAGGGAACUUUAAGUUUUAUUUUUGAGGCCACACACCAUUUUCUUUCAUUUGAUGUGUGUGUGUGUGUGUGUGUGUGUGUGUGUGUGUGUGUAUGUUUAAAGUGAAAAUGAAAACACCAAUAAGCUUAUCUUUGUUUAUAAUUUUUCUGCCCUCCUCCUUCCUUCUUUCCUCUCUCCCUCCCCUCUCCCUCCAUCAGCCUCUCCCUUCCCACCCUUCCUCUGCUGUCUUUAACCUUAAGUAAUGGGAUUUUUUUUUUUAAUGUUACUGAAGAAAGGAAUUAUUUAACUACUGGUUAUUUGAUAAAGGCAACAGAAAAGCAAGCGAGGGAUGAAGAUAGGCAGUGUGUUACCCAGUGUCCCAUUUAAGUCUCCCAUUGAGGGACCUUAAAUGGCAGGGAACACUUCUGAACACUAAGGGAAGGUAUGUAAAUGAAUACUUCGUGGUUGUAAUUGUUAGGCAUAUAAUUUGAUCUGAACUGUGUAAUGCAAAAGGCAUAUGAUUAUCAUUCUUUAAAAGGCUUUCGCAAAGAAUGCUUUGCAAGAGUAUUUCCCAAGAAAUGUUAAAAUUAAGACAGAAUUAACUUUACUUUCUGAAGCUAUUCUGUUAUUCUCUCUCUCUCUCUCUCUCUCUCUUAUUGUAAAAGUCUUAUUUUGUUAUUCUGACACAUCAGGAACUCUGGGUCUUUUGAAGACAAACUAAAACCCAACGAUAAUGGGAAUCUGGCAAUUUAGACAAAUCUUAAAUUUCAGUUCCAAAAAGGAGUAUCCACAUAAUGAGCCUGUUUGCGUCAACGGAAUGUUUCCUCUCUAAAUGACUGUUGUUUUAAUGUCUGGCUUGACACGUGUGAGCUGGUGAGCAGUGCUGUUGCCUCCCGUUUGCUUCAGGCUGAAUUGAGUACGGGAGAAGGAAGGAUGACCAACUGAUCUGCUGCCUCCGAUGAUUAGGUGCCCGCUGUAGAUGGUUGGGUACCCGCAGUGUAGGCCCUGCUUUCCUUUAACUAUGUCAAAUGAUGCUUUCCCCUGAUGGUUGAGGACCACAGGAAAGCACCUAUCCCUGUCUCUUACUUCCUCUGCCUCUUUCCUUUCCUCUGUCUUUUGCCUUUGUAGAUUUGACGCACACAUGAAGAUGAACCUUGUUCUGAGCAUAAGCAGGAUGGUUCCUGGAUAUCUAGGGUUUGGAAAUAGAUAUGAUGUGUAAAUUCUGUGUUUUAGGAACACCUCUUGUUGGGGAGAUGCAAUUUUAUAUAACUGGCUUGCUCAAACAGCAGAAUUAGCUGCCUUCAAACCAUAUUCUAGGGCUGGAUGUGUGACUCAUCAACCUGGGUUCCAUCCUCAGUGUCAAAACCCUACC
rnacentral:lncRNA from 1 species